GUGGCAAGCAGAGAAAACUUUAUAGCCAUCACUUAGGUGAAAUAUAGCAAAGUAACGAAAGCUAUGUUAUAAAAACCACGCUUGUUUUACUUUCCUUUCUCUUUGUCCUUAACUUCCUCCAGGCAGGAUUGCUUGCACAUAGUCAUUUUGGUAGUGGGUAGUCACUAAUAAGUGAUUAACUUCAUGUCCUAACCCCCAGGGGAUGCUUGCAAGAUUAAUGAGCUUGUUUUUCUUAUAAAGAACAAUGAUCCUUGGUCAUGCUGACCUCCUUGAUGGCAUGCAGAAGUUUGGCCAAGGGAUGCAAGCAGCUUUGAUAAUCAGGAGAUCUCACUUCCCACACACCUUCCUUACUCAUAAAAGCCACCAGUUAUGUGCAAAGGGAGGUUGAAUUUGAGAAUUUGCCUCUCCCACCCUCAUGCUUUGGACAAUUUGAAUAAACCUUUCUCUGCUCUGAAGCACUCAUACGUCAGUAUUUGGCUUACUGUGCAUCAGGUACCUGACGUAAGUUUUGGGGUUCUGCAACAGAUUCUGACAACAUGGCAGUAGGCCCAGCCAGGUCAGGCAAACAAGUGCCAGAAGCUGCCCAGGCUUGUUGGUUGGGGGGCCCUAAAGUAGCUCUUCUAGGUCAGUGUCAGCUGCCGUUGGUGCUCUAGAAGCUUAGAGCAGAGAAACAUCUCAGACUGCUAUCUGGACUUCCAGUUUUGGUUUGAAGGGUUUAAAGAAAGGGGUUCCUCAGGUAAAGAACCUCAAUAAGGUACAGGAAGUUCAGCAGCAAGCAUAUGAGGACUCUUCAUAAUUCAUAGAAAGAUGUCAUCAGACAUAAUGAAAAGUAGAUUGACACUAACCCUGAGGCACCCGACAAUCAGAGAAUGGUCAAUGUGACCUUAAUCAGCCAGAAGCCCUGAUAUUCAAAGAAAACUGCAAAUAGUGAGAUCCUUGGGUUACCAAUCUCAUAGUUAGUGGAGUUAGCUUUUAAAGUAUACUAUGCUCAGGACGAGGCUCAGGAAAAGUGCAAAUUGAAGCAACAAGUAACUUGCUGGCAGCUGCACUUGACUACCAA